UACGAAGGGUGCUAGCGUUGUUCGGAUUUACUGGGCGUAAAGCGCACGUAGGCGGUUCGUUAAGUCGGGGGUGAAAUCCUGGAGCUCAACUCCAGAACUGCCUUCGAUACUGGCGAUCUUGAGUCCGGAAGAGGUGAGUGGAACUCCUAGUGUAGAGGUGGAAUUCGUAGAUAUUAGGAAGAACACCAGUGGCGAAGGCGGCUCACUGGUCCGGUACUGACGCUGAGGCACGAAAGCGUGGGGAGCAAACAGG
rnacentral:rRNA from 1 species